rnacentral:tRNA from 1 species
UGGUCCGUUCGUCUAGGGGUUAGGACGCAAGGUUUUCAUCCUUGUAACAGGGGUUCGAUUCCCCUACGGACUACUAC